rnacentral:rRNA from 1 species
AGUGAACGCUGGCGGUAGGCCUAACACAUGCAAGUCGAACGGCAGCACAGUAAGAGCUUGCUCUAAUGGGUGGCGAGUGGCGGACGGGUGAGGAAUACAUCGGAAUCUACUUUUUCGUGGGGGAUAACGUAGGGAAGCCUACGCUAAUACCGCAUACGACCUACGGGUGCAAGCAGGGGAUCUUCGGACCUUGCGCGAUUGAAUGAGCCGAUGUCGGAUUAGCUAGUUGGCGGGGUAAAGGCCCACCAAGGCGACGAUCCGUAGCUGGUCUGAGAGGAUGGUCAGCCGCACUGGAACUGGGACAGGGUCCAGACUCCUGCGAGAGGGAGCAGUGGGGAAUGUGAGGCAGUAGGCGGAAGCCUGGUCCAGCCAUACCGAGUGGGUGAAGAAGGCCUUCGGGUUGUAAAGCCGUUUUGUGGGGAAUGAAAAGCAGCAGGUUGAUACGCAGCUGUUCUGACGGUACCCAAAGAAUAAGCACCGGCUAACUUCGUG